rnacentral:rRNA from 1 species
UACGAAGGGGGCUAGCGUUGCUCGGAAUCACUGGGCGUAAAGCGCACGUAGGCGGAUCGUUAAGUCGGGGAUGAAAUCCUGGAGCUCAACUCCAGAACUGCCUUCGAUACUGGCGAUCUUGGAGUCCGGGAGAGGUGAGUGGAACUCCGAGUGUAGAGGUGAAAUUCGUAGAUAUUCGGAAGAACACCAGUGGCGAAGGCGGCUCACUGGCCCGGUACUGACGCUGAGGUGCGAAAGCGUGGGGAGCAAACAGG